UCAUUUUAUCUUCAAAAAGUUUACUAACCCUAAAACUCAUUUUUCCUUCUUUAUUUUCGUUCUUUUCUUUCUCCGUUUCCUCCCUCUUCAUCAAGCGAUGAAGCUUGUAGAUUUCAUUUGUUGUUUAAUAAGAACAACACAAGGGUGUUGUCUUCAUCAAGCAAUGAAGAGGGAAACCAUUGUGAUCACCGAUAUCACUGCCGUUGCCAUACAUCUACAGAGAUCGGCAAGUGACGUUCUUGUUCUCACUCUCCUUUUGCCACUCUUUCACAGUUGCACCGCGACGUGUGGUGUCGUAUCCAGGCCGUAUCCACGUCGACUGUGUUAAACUCAGCAGGCUUUGUGUCUUAGCUAUGGCGGGUAAAAAGAGUCCGAACCGUCUCAAAUACUCAGCCCCUCGCUUCUCCAAGAUUUUCACAGAUUUAAUUCUCCGUUCUAUGAAGCUCCACGCUUUGUUACACAUAUCGAUGAUGCAAGCAGUGUCGCAGUUACUAAGUACUGUUUAGGGGUUUUCCCUCGUAGCAAUACUCUAGAAGUGAGCAUUUUGGAUAUGUGCAGUAGUUGGGUCAGUCAUUUACAGUCAGGAUACAAACAAGAACAAAUAGUUGGAAUGCGGAUGAAUGACGAAGAAAUCAAGCGAAAUCCUGAGUACAAUAAUUAUUCUCACUUUUUUAAUGGUUGGAUUAUAAGUUGGUCAUCGUUGUCAUAUAAGCAGAAUUAGCUUUAUAUGCCAAUUAAAUAUCAUUUUAAUUUUAGAAUUA